rnacentral:rRNA from 1 species
CCUACGGGUGGCAGCAGUGGGGAAUAUUGCACAAUGGGGGAAACCCUGAUGCAGCGACGCCGCGUGAGUGAAGAAGUAAUUCGUUACGUAAAGCUCUAUCAGCAGGGAAGAAACACUGACCUUACGGUCAGCAGACGGUACCUGAGUAAGAAGCACCGGCGAACUACGUGCCAGCAGCCGCGGUAAUACGUAGGGGGCAAGCGUUAUCCGGAUUUACUGGGUGGAAAGGGAGCGUAGACGGUGCGCCAAGUCUGGAGGUAAAUGCCGCAGCUUAACUGCGGAACUGCUUUGGAAAGUGGCGAGCUAGAGUGCGGGAGGGGUAAGCGGAAUUCCUGGUGUAGCGGUGAAAUGCGUAGAUAUUAGGAGGAACACCGGUGGCGAAGGCGGCUUACUGGACCGUAACUGACGUUGAGGCUCGAAAGCGUGGGGAGCAAACAGGAUUAGAUACCCCUGUAGUC